GUGAACGCUGGCGGUAGGCCUAACACAUGCAAGUCGAACGGCAGCACAGUAAGAGCUUGCUCUUACGGGUGGCGAGUGGCGGACGGGUGAGGAAUACAUCGGAAUCUACUUUUUCGUGGGGGAUAACGUAGGGAAACUUACGCUAAUACCGCAUACGACCUACGGGUGAAAGCAGGGGAUCUUCGGACCUUGCGCGAUUGAAUGAGCCGAUGUCGGAUUAGCUAGUUGGCGGGGUAAAGGCCCACCAAGGCGACGAUCCGUAGCUGGUCUGAGAGGAUGAUCAGCCACACUGGAACUGAGACACGGUCCAGACUCCUACGGGAGGCAGCAGUGGGGAAUAUUGGACAAUGGGCGCAAGCCUGAUCCAGCCAUACCGCGUGGGUGAAGAAGGCCUUCGGGUUGUAAAGCCCUUUUGUUGGGAAAGAAAAGCAGCAGGUUGAUACCCCGCUGUUCUGACGGUACCCAAAGAAUAAGCACCGGCUAACUUCGUG
rnacentral:rRNA from 1 species